rnacentral:rRNA from 1 species
GACGAACGCUGGCGGCGUGCUUAACACAUGCAAGUCGAACGCUGAAGGCUCAGCUUGCUGGGCUGGAUGAGUGGCGAACGGGUGAGUAACACGUGAGUAACCUGCCCUCUUCUUUGGGAUAACGGUCGGAAACGGCUGCUAAUACCGGGUAUUCACUGUCCUUCGCAUGGGGGGUGGUGGAAAGGUUUUUUCUGGUGGGGGAUGGGCUCGCGGCCUAUCAGCUUGUUGGUGGGGUGAUGGCUUACCAAGGCUUUGACGGGUAACCGGCCUGAGAGGGUGACCGGUCACAUUGGGACUGAGAUACGGCCCAGACUCCUACGGGAGGCAGCAGUGGGGAAUAUUGCACAAUGGGCGAAAGCCUGAUGCAGCGACGCCGCGUGAGGGAUGAAGGCCUUCGGGUUGUAAACCUCUUUCGCUCAUGGUCAAGCCGCAACUCAAGGUUGUGGUGAGGGUAGUGGGUAAAGAAGCACCGGCUAUCUACGUGCCAGCAGCCGCGUUAAGACGUAAGGUGCAACCGUUGUCCGGAAUUGUUGGGCGCAAGGGCUCCCUCCCUCUUCCACCCCUCUGCCGUGACUACUCUGGUGUGUA